rnacentral:rRNA from 1 species
UACGUAGGGUGCAAGCGUUGUCCGGAAUUAUUGGGCGUAAAGAGCUCGUAGGCGGUUUGUCGCGUCUGCUGUGAAAACUCGGGGCUUAACUCCGGGCCUGCAGUGGGUACGGGCAGACUAGAGUGCGGUAGGGGAGACUGGAAUUCCUGGUGUAGCGGUGAAAUGCGCAGAUAUCAGGAGGAACACCGGUGGCGAAGGCGGGUCUCUGGGCCGUCCCUGACGCUGAGGCGCGAAGGCGUGGGGAGCGAACGGG